CGACGAUUCGCAAAGCCGAACUCGCAGUAGGCGUAGUCGCGUCGCACGCAACGCACAUCAUCGUCAUCGUCAUCGUCAGGCCGUUGGUGUGCGGCACUGCGCCGUUCUCUCGCAUCGACGUCGUUCGCUCGCGCGGUAUGAGUUUCGCCGCUGAGUGCUACUUCCCCGUCGACCGGACCGACUGCGACGCAGAAAAGCAUGGCCGUCCGCAAGAUUCUGUCACGCUGCCGCCGCUAGCGAGAGCCUGGCACGCGCCGCGUCCUCGUUCGUGGCGGGCAUGUGCGCCGAGAUGCCGGUGCUGUGCGCGGGUGUCGUUUUUGUGGUGUUGUCCGCUUCGGCGAUGAAGAUGUGUGGGACGACGGUGCUUCAGUGGCGGCGACACGUGACACACACGCCGAGGGUUGAACGACUCUCCGGCCUCUCGAGCGCCGCCACGCAACGAACUCCAUUUUCGCGAGCAAACGGGGCGAGAAGGAGGCGAGAGGAGCUUUCGCGCGGAAAGCUCUCGCUCGCGGCGGCGUGUGCAAGGCGUCGCCGCGGGCAUGAAACUCGCAUGGCGGCUGCGGCAUGAGCGCCGCGACGUGUAGGCGCUCACACACACACACACACACAGACACACAGACACACACACACACACACACACACACACACACACACACACACACAUUGCCGUGCGGUACGGUGCAGUGCUUUGACCUCUUCGUAACUACGAGUCGCGUGCAGCGCAGGCCCCGUCCUCUGCAGGCUGGUCGCGCGACAUCGGAUCGCCAUGCCGGCGAUGAAGAGUGACGGAGAGGGCUUCGUCGGAGGCUGCGCGACAACGAGUAGGGAUGGAGGAUGAGUAUGAUCGAGGCGAAGGGGGACAGAGUAAUGGCGAACACGGUGCCAUUGGCGAGGGAUCGCAGCUCAACCCAAUGGAUCGACUAUUCCACCACGCUAUAUCGCAGAAGCCAGCUGAAAGGUAAAUCAAACAUGACUAUAUAGUAGCAGUCAGCAUCAAAUCACAACAUCUCGUAAGUAGACGUGAAAUCGGUCAGAAGCAAUAUAUAUCCUCUCACAUACAUACACACAGGCGCCGCGGCUCAAGAUGAAUGAGCGUAGAUAAAACGCCGCGUGAGAAUCGAACUUUUAGAGCGCCACAGCAGCAGCGUUUCUCGGAACUCUCUCGCAACACACAUUGUCUCGGUCACUUUUUAUUCCUUUUUGUCAAAGUAUCUUA